CUCUUUGGGAGUUGAGCCUUUAACAACGUUUCCAAUGUAUCCAUCUUCCUUUCCACUUAGGCUCAAGCGCCCUUGGCCUUCUGACUUGCCCUCACUACAUGGUGGGAGAGAUGAUCUUAUGUGGCUUCGAGAUGGAGACAGAGCAAUCCAAUCUUUGAAUUUCCAGGGAUUCUGUAAUCAGACGCUUACCGAGUGCUAUUUCAAAAGCUGGAAAUGUGAGUGGCUG